rnacentral:rRNA from 1 species
UACGUAGGGUGCAAGCGUUGUCCGGAAUUAUUGGGCGUAAAGCGCACGUAGGCGGCUUUGCAAGUCGGAUGUGAAAUCCCUCGGCUCAACCAAGGAAGUGCAUCCGAAACUGCAGAGCUUGAGUACUUAAGAGGAUCGCGGAAUUCCCGGUGUAGAGGUGAAAUUCGUAGAUAUCGGGAGGAACACCAGUGGCGAAGGCGGCGAUCUGGGAAGAUACUGACGCUGAGGUGCGAAAGCGUGGGGAGCAAACAGG